rnacentral:lncRNA from 1 species
GAGCCCAAUGAGUGAGUAUAGUAACAAAACACCCCUAAAUCAUAUAUUCAUCACACAAUGUAACAAAAACAAAACGUGGAAACACACCCAACUCUCGUGCUCGCUUCACCAACUCCAUGCGAAUAAGAAAAUUCCACCAGAAACCCAUGGUUCUCACAACCAUAAAAUGAUAUAAGAACAUACAUGAUACACAACUUCAAACAUAGAAAGUUAAUGAUUUAGCUUCCCUUACCGUAGAUAAACCCUAGCUUUCUUUCUUUGCCCAAGGUUGAGAACCCAAAACUUUCACCUCCUCCACAUUAACGUUCUUGCUUCCAAGAAAAACUCUAAAACACUCUUUGGAUUUUCCAAUCACUAUCUCCCAGUGCACCCACCACUUUUUCUCUUUCUGUUAAACUUUGUAUCCCCCUAAAUUUUCCAGAGCCCCUCUCUUAAAUAAAACUACCCAAUCCACUAACCCCUAUCUGUUCCACUAACCCAAUCCACUGACCUUAGAUAUUUUAAUUAUGGUUUUUAAAAUGAGUUAAGUGGCCCCACGAUGAAUAUUUAAAAUAUAAUAGCCAAACAAACAAUUUU